UCUUGUGGUGGAUGUGAUCGGUGCAUGAUGGACUGGAUGGGAAGUGUCCAAGUCAUAUACACCUGUUGGAAGGGCGCUGUACUCACCGAAGUGAGAGAUGAGCUCAAAUGCUGUGUGGUGGGUGAGGGCGGAGGAUGGAUUAAAAAGAUCUUGAGAAAGUGGAACUGGAAGGAUUUGUAAAUUGCCCCUAUCUGGAAGGAAAUGGAGAAGGAGAACUUCAUGAUAAGAUCCAGGUUUCCAACUUGAGCCACAGAAUAUAUUUUCACCGGUGGGGAUAGAGGUGGACAAAGGUGGACAGGAGUCCAGCCCUGGAAAGGGACCCAGGGAAGGGAGAGACAGGCUGUCAGGACAGCCAUGUGUGGAAUUGGGACAGCGGUGGCAGAGAGGGGCUCACCUUCUGACAGCUCCAUCCCUUCACAAUCGGACCUUAUGGCAGAUAUUAUUAAUCAAUGUGCCACUCUUUCCCACUGAGCUUGAACCCAACUGUCAGGACACUUUAUAAUAUAAUGGCUCCUGGAAGUUAUUAUCAAUUAAUUAACUUUAGUUCGCAAGCUGAAAGCUGUUUGCUUCUUCUUGCAGGUCUGGAAGUUUAGGAGCCCAACUUAUGGGUAAGGAAGCCGUGGCCCUCCCUCAGUGUCUGCUUAGCAAACUCACUGCCACCUAGGCCGGUUUCCUCACUCCUACCUCGAGACUCCAUCUUUUCUCUGCACCUCCGAGGGCUCCAGGCCACAGGUCUCGGCACCCCCGAUGUAAAGAUUUGUGAUCGGUAUGUUGUCUCCUCUGGAGUCGGCAACAGAGAGUCAAUGGAACAGCUGACGAAGCAGGAUGCGCUGAAAAUAAGAUUUAACCCCGUGACUGCUCACCAAAGUGAGAAAGAUUAUAUGCUAGAAUGGUACAUGGAGCGGGUUCCAUGGUCCGCAUAGCUGACUGCCGCAGAGAUGCCUCCAGAGCGAGCUGUGUGCCUUCA